AUUUGCAUGAUCAAAAUAUGAGUACCAAGAAAAGUAACAAUUAAAAAUUGUUGACAAUCAAGGUCUUGAAGAAGAUGGGUCAGCGGAUUAUGGCCGUGGCUGAUUGGCUACAAUGUGCUGAGUCACUACGAGAAGAAACGAAAGCUCGAGCUGCUGCCAUUUAAAUGGAUACUUUCCGGGAAACGUCCUUACGCAGUUUUGCUGAGCUGGAUGUCGGCUGUUUCCUCAGAGGAAGGUGUUCUAUUAAUUCCUGAGAGAGCGGUGUUAAAAUCUCUAAUGAUCAGGAAAACACUUCCUACUUCUUCAGUUCUUCAGCGUGAAGAUGUGCACACUUCUCUGUACUAAACAUCAUUGCCAAGCCAACGUCCAGUACCUCAACUCUCCUUCGGAUGUCAUUUCUCAUUCAGGGAGUACAUACAGAGGAAGUGGGCCCCCCUUCAGCCCCAGAGGCAUCUCAACUUCAGCCUCAUCUACUGUUCAAGGUGAAGUUCCAUGCGCGGAGGGCAAGAAUCACAUGAACACAGGACUGGUAACAAGAGACAUUUCAGAUUCUACAAUACAUGUACUGUUCCUCCAAUUGUUUACCAAAUGCGGCAGUUAAGCUCCACUGCCCCCUCCUUGACUCACUGACUUACUGGCUGAUGAACAAAACUGCCAACUGCACAUUAACAGGGGUGCUUGUUGGAACUGUGUUAACCAUUGUGUUGCCAUUUAAACAGGAAAAAUCCUCAUCACUGUAAUAUGUGCGCUGCUCUUUACACAAAAUAAACAGGAAAAAAUGUUGAUGAGUAAGAAAAGGAAAUAUAUCUUUGUCUCUGUUGUACACUAACCUAAGUCAAUUUGACUGCUUAGCCAAUAUCAAUUUUUAAAAAUUUUAUCUGAUGUUUUUGGUAGAUGCUGGUAAACUCCAGAGUUAAAAGGAGGGGCAGUGCCUUAUUAAAGAAAGGAGCUCUUAUUAUAAAUUUUACCAAAUGUAGUAACAUUUAUUAGUAAACAGGUACAGAAGAGUCAUAUAAACUGGUCUGUACUUUGGAGAAGACUUUGCCCUUGGUGCAUGGGACUUCACCUUGAGGGAAUGGCUAUUCCUAACAGCUAAGAAUAACUAAUAACUGACUGGCAUAGAUUAGCGUUAAUUAGCAAUAUGUUUAAUACAUAUAUUUAAUAUAUUCUGAUAGUUACAUAUUUAGUAACGUAUAUAACACUCGAUUAUUUUAACAUAAAUAACCAGAUAGACAUAAUAGUUCCAAGUUGAAAUUUUUCAUGCGGGGGCAUAGUUUGACAACAUAGCCGGGAGUUACCAUCUAAUUGUGAGAAGCAUACUAUAAAUGAAAAUAAAUAAAAUAAACUUCCUUAAGACUUCAUGUUUUCUCUGUGUGACAUAUCACUGUUUCCCAAGACUUAACAAAAUUAACCCUGAACUACAACAUGGGGAAAUAGAAUGAAGAACACAAUUCUAGUGUCAGCCAUUAUUUGGAACUGGGGCCUGAACCUAGAUGAAUUAGAUAUUAUCAUCACUUUAUUAUUAACAUGUGACUUUUUAUAUCUGAAUUGGUCAUGCUAGGCCCAAUAUUAUAUAGAAAAGUCCAGAAAAUUGAGAAAAAACUUGCUGAGUUAUCAAAUAAGAUGACAUGCCAGAUUUUUGGCAAUUAGCGGGCAGGCUAAUAUCAAUAGAUCAUUAAUGUAACUCAUUUUUAUAGAAAAAUAGUUUUGUAAAAUGAAACAUCCAAGCAAGAAGAUCUGUGCUAUGGGAAGGAGAAUGGAGAGUAAACGAACCUUCAUUGAAUGCCUAUGUUUCAGACACAGUACUAGUGUGACCACAUAUAAUCUUUAUUAGACUAUCUCUGUGAGGUAGGGUAUAUUAUUCUCAUGUUUACGGAUGACGAUACACUGUGACUUAUGCUAGACAGACCUACUUACAUGUACCAAGCAAUUAUACUGUAAAAUUAAAUUCUAAAACUUUUGACAGGUGGGGUGUGAAACAUCUGGAUUUCUCCCUUAAAAUAAUAAGUUUUUAGUGACUUUCCAUCAUGUAAAUGCAGUUGUACUCUAACUCUGAAAUUGCCAGUUCUUUUCUGGGGGUGGGGGGGGCGGUUCUGCGGUACUUUUCUUUUCUGGGCACUAUCUGGUCAUUUUGUCCUGUUAUUAUUUUUGUAUCCUUGAAGAAUGUAAAGAUGGUGUUUUCAUGAAAAUGAAUAUUGCCUUUUCUUUGACUCAGGAUGGUUGACUAUAAUGCUGUCAUUAUACUUAUGUUUAAAACUCUCAUUCAUCUAGGCACUGAGUACUUGCUGGAAUCCAUAAAAAAGUAUAACACCUACCUUCAAGGAGCUUAUCUUUGCCUGGAAAUUAAGCCAACUUCUUCCUUAGUGAGGAACAACUCUAAAUAUUGUAGCAUUGAAAUUGAUGGGUCUCAUCUUAGAAGGCUUUCUUUUUUUUUUUUUGCACUUUACUCAUAAGACCACCUGGAAACCAAGAGAGUUUAUACAUGUUAUAUUUUAAUUGACACACACCACCAAAAGCUUGUUAAUAGUUCAGAAGAUUAGUGAGUGUUGAUGUUUACCAACAAACAAUAUCCUUUGUAAUGGGUUUAUGGAGAGAAAUAAAGAGUUGCGGCCUCACUGCUCUGACCUGCUCCUCCCUUUUACAAUAUUGAUACUUGUUCUGUAGUCACUUAUAACCCUCUGUUGUGGCUAAUUGGAAGUUCUUGGUCUGACUACUAGCUUCUUGCUGUGAUAAAUAUUUAAUCACAGAGGGGGAAGUUCCUUUUUUGAGAACAUACAUUGGUCUGUAACUCUUGAAAACAGAACAAAGGGCACUGUUACCUGGAAGGCACCUUCCUUCACUCCCUGGUCCAGGGUUGAGAAAGGUCCACCUAAUUACCUCUGCGGAGAAACAGCAGUCUCCUUCUCACUUACUGUCUGACAUUUAGACAUUUCUCCCCUCACCUCUUCCCACUGGUGUGAAAAGGAACUGAAUACAAAACGAAAGUCCACUUAGCUAGCACGUUUCCUCUCCAUCACAAAGUUACGCCGUGGAUAUGUGGUAUGUCACUCUAACUGUGUCAUUUUUCUCUCCAAUUAAAAAUAAUGGAUGCUUUUGGCCUGUCAGCCUGCACAAUGUUCCUGUAGGGAGAAAAUUAGUUGGUAUCUCCACAGAGCCAUUGUCCACUAAUUUGAAGUUCAAGGUCUGACUGCGAUCCAUCUCCAUGUCCCCCCACGUAUCAGAAUGUCACUAAGAAUCCGCACUUCCCAUGGGAAGACUCUGACAGGCAUGAUUACACCUGAACCCAUCUUUCCUGGAACAAUUUUCAUGCAAACUGGGAGUGAGAAAAGAUUAUCACAUCUUUCAAUUACUCAACUAUAUUUCCUGGAAGAAAGUCUUCUGAAUUUGUCAGUAGCUGCUUCAUCACAGGGAUGUUAAUAUAUUUUAUUGGCCAAUUUUCUGUGACAAAUGCAUUUGAGAACACAGCCAAAAAAAGAAGCUCUUAAUGUAUUAGAAGAGAACAAAGGAUAUACAGCCACCAUUGGUCAAAGGAAGCUGUGUGUGUGUGUUCUCUUUAUAUUUCGAUUCUCCAAUACCUAGAAGAAUAUACACGUUUUCAGUUUGCCCACCUUGGGACAGUUGGGCUGCCAAUUGCUAGUAGAAUAAAUGCUGACAACCUGAAUGUUGGGAACAAAUUACUGAAGAGGUGCAAAAACAUUUAAUUAAAUCUUGUAAGCCAGAAAUAAAUUUUAAUAGUUAAAAACAUUUCAUUCCUCUUCAAUUACACCUAUUCAGCCUUCAGGGUUUUCUCUUUGAAAGAGUGCAGUUGCCAAGAGAGACAACUUUCCUUGAAGGGAAUUGUGUUCUGGGUUAUAUUAGCUACUGUUUGAAAACUACCAUUCUAUCCCCAUCUCUAAAGACUGCAAAAUAUACAUAAAAGGAAUAUAAAAGGAAGAAAAAAUUAUAAUCAAAAACAUUAAAGGGAUAGAACUUAAAUUAUUUCAUGACAUAUUCAUUAACCCCAAACUUAGAAGUAUUCUACUAACUAGAAUACAGCUAAGAGGGCAUUCUGAAGAGGAAGAAGCUGUGUAUGCUAGGCUACAUUUUCUGAGAUUUCUUAUUUUCAUAUUAUGCAAUAUUUUCUCAUUAUAGUUCUUCAGAAAUUUGUUUAGGUAUCUCCAGGAUAUAAGCUACAAUAAUUUCAAAUAUAUAGCAUGAGUAAAGACAAAUUUGCAAUUAGAAAAGUAUUAUUUUUUCCCUUUAAUCAUUAGUUUUUUUCUUUUACAUAUUCAGCAAAUGUAUUUAAUAUGUUUAUAAAUUCGCAGUUAAAAUGAUACUUCCAGCUUACUUUAGUUCAUUUUAAGAUUGUAUCUUAAAUAUAUCUUUUUAUUCCUAAGAGUUGCUGAAAAUUAUUUUAAGGAGUACCUGCCUAGUAUUUCACUUUAUCUGACAGUAGGUUGAUUUCCAUUUUUUUUUUUCGUAAGUAUAGAUAAUUUGGCAAUUAGGACAUUUGUACAUAUGCAUUCCAUAUCUUCUUGAGCAACUUCUGGAACUUCAGAUAAAUAUCCUCAUAUAAGAACUAACACAUCUAAAAUCUAUCUCUUUCAAAUUAUUUCCCCAUUUAGUUUAUUAUAGAGUAUUGAGCAGAGUUUACUGUGAACAAGAAUAGAUACACAUAUAUGUAUAACUGAAUCACUUUGCUGUACACCUGAAACUAACACAACACUGUUGUACAACUAUACUCCAAUAUAAGACAAAAAUUUAAAAAAAAUAAAUAAAAUCUAUCUCUAAGUUACCCGAACAAUAGCUUUGGAAAUUAGGGGCUUGCUACCUCAACUA